AUUGAACGCUGGCGGCAGGCCUAACACAUGCAAGUCGAACGCGUGGCGGACGGGUGAGUAAUGUCUGGGAAACUGCCUGAUGGAGGGGGAUCACUAGUGGAAACGGUAUCUAAUACCGCAUACCAUCGGAUGUGCCCAGAUGGGAUGAGCUAGGAGGGAGGGUAACGGCUCACCUAGGCGAAGAUCCCUAGCUGGUCUGAGAGGAUGACCAGCCACACUGGGACUGAGACACGGUCCAGACUCCUACGGGAGGCAGCAGUGGGGAAUAUUGCACAAUGGGCGCAAGCCUGAUGCAGCCAUGCCACGUGUAUGAAGAAGGCCUUCGGGUUGUAAAGUACUUUCAGCGGGGAGGCGUUACCGGCAGAAGAAGCACCGGCUAACUCCGUGCCAGCAGCCGCGGUAAUUC
rnacentral:rRNA from 1 species